CUAAAUAUCUAAACGGAGAAAUUCAAUAAUGCCUCUAACCGAUCGCAUUGUGCACUUUUCUCUUAGUAAGACGCCGUGAUCCAUUAGAAAUUGGUGUACGUCAAGUGCACAGUGGGUCAUCAAUAGGCCGGCGUGAAGUUUAUCUGGAACAAAUGGCACAAUCUUUUACGGCUGUGUGUAUUGUCUAGUAAGCGCGUCCGUGUUCCUGUAAUGACUGUCUGAUGGAUUUUAGCGACAAUCAAUAACAGUGUUAAGGCAUUGAUAUUCGYAAGAGUAUAGCAUUUGAUUUGUCAGAUCAACGGCGGUUAAAUUUGGGAUACCUUUUGGACCCGUCUUGAAACACGGACCAAGGAGUCUAUCUAGUAUGCGAGUAAAUGGAUAGUUUAUGAAAUCUAUUUGCAUAAUAAACGUGACUGUUUUAAUGGGACUACAAUUUUAACUUGCAAAAGUUAUUAUUUUCCAUCCCGGGGUAUUUUUAUCAACAUAUGUUCGCAUAUGGAAAAUAUACCAUGAGCACACUGGAUACGACCCGAAAGAUGGUGAACUAUGCCUGAUCAGGUCGAAGUCAGGGGAAACCCUGAUGGAGGACCGAAGCAGUUCUGACGUGCAAAUCGAUUGUCAGAAUUGGGCAUAGGGGCGAAAGACCAAUCGAACCAUC
rnacentral:rRNA from 1 species